GAUGAACGCUGGCGGCGUGCCUAAUACAUGCAAGUCGAGCGAACAGACGAGGAGCUUGCUCCUCUGACGUUAGCGGCGGACGGGUGAGUAACACGUGGAUAACCUACCUAUAAGACUGGGAUAACUUCGGGAAACCGGAGCUAAUACCGGAUAAUAUAUUGAACCGCAUGGUUCAAUAGUGAAAGACGGUUUUGCUGUCACUUAUAGAUGGAUCCGCGCCGCAUUAGCUAGUUGGUAAGGUAACGGCUUACCAAGGCGACGAUGCGUAGCCGACCUGAGAGGGUGAUCGGCCACACGGGAACUGAGACACGGUCCAGACCCCUACGGGAGGCAGCAGUAGGGAAUCUUCCGCAAUGGGCGAAAGCCUGACGGAGCAACGCCGCGUGAGUGAUGAAGGUCUUCGGAUCGUAAAACUCUGUUAUUAGGGAAGAACAAAUGUGUAAGUAACUAUGCACGUCUUGACGGUACCUAAUCAGAAAGCCACGGCUAACUACGUG
rnacentral:rRNA from 1 species